rnacentral:rRNA from 1 species
CACGUAAGGUGCAAGCGUUGUUCGGAAUUAUUGGGCGUAAAGGGCAUGCAGGCGGUCUGGUAAGUUAGGCGUGAAAUCCCGGGGCUUAACCCCGGAACUGCGCUUGAUACUGCUGGACUAGAGUCAGUGAGGGGAGACUAGAAUUCCAGGUGUAGGGGUGAAAUCUGCAGAUAUCUGGAAGAAUACCGGUGGCGAAGGCAGGUCUCUAGCACAUGACUGACGCUCAUAUGCGAAGGUGCGGGGAGCAAAC